AAAAAGGAAAAAGAAACCGAAUAAGGAAAUGAAAAUCGAAUAAGGAAAUGAAAAUCCAAUAAGGAAAUAGAAACUGAAUAAGGAAAUAGAAACCGAAAAAGGAAAUGAAUAUUGAAAAAAGAAAAAGAAACCGAAUAAGGAAAUGAAAAUCGAAUAAAGAAAUGGAAAUCGAAUAAGGAAAUGAAAAUCCAAUAAGGAAAUAGAAACUGAAUAAGGAAAUAGAAACCGAAUAAGGAAAUGAAUAUUGAAAAAGGAAAAAGAAACCGAAUAAGGAAAUGAAAAUUGAAUAAGGAAAUGGAAAUCGAAUAAGGAAAUGAAAAUCCAAUAAGGAAAUAGAAACCGAAAA
rnacentral:lncRNA from 1 species